rnacentral:rRNA from 4 species
UUCCCGUAGGUGAACCUGCGGAAGGAUCAUUA